AACGAACGCUGGCGGCAGGCCUAACACAUGCAAGUCGAACGCCCCGCAAGGGGAGUGGCAGACGGGUGAGUAACACGUGGGAACCUUCCCUAUACUACGGAAUAGCCCAGGGAAACUUGGAGUAAUACCGUAUACGCCCGAGAGGGGAAAGAUUUAUCGGUAUAGGAUGGGCCCGCGUAGGAUUAGCUAGUUGGCGAGGUAAUGGCUCACCAAGGCGACGAUCCUUAGCUGGUCUGAGAGGACGACCAGCCACACUGGGACUGAGACACGGCCCAGACUCCUACGGGAGGCAGCAGUGGGGAAUAUUGGACAAUGGGCGCAAGCCUGAUCCAGCCAUGCCGCGUGAGUGAUGAAGGCCUUAGGGUUGUAAAGCUCUUUUGCCGGGGACGAUAAUGACGGUACCCGGAGAAUAAGUCCCGGCUAACUUCGUGCCAGCCGCCGCGGUAAUAC
rnacentral:rRNA from 1 species